GCCGGAGUAGCUCAGCUGGUAGAGCACUGCUCUUGUAAAGCAGAUGCCGCGGGUUCGAGUCCCGCCUCCGGCU
rnacentral:tRNA from 1 species